GUGCAGCAGGCGCGAAACCUCCGCAAUGCACGCAAGUGUGACGGGGGAUUCCAAGUGUUAUUGCAUUUUGUGUGAUAACUUUUCUUAAAUGUAAAUAGUUUGAGGAAUAAGGGCUGGGUAAGACGGGUGCCAGCCGCCGCGGUAAUACCCGCCAGCUCAAGUGGUCUGGAGUUUUAAUUGGGUCUAAAGCGUUCGUAGCUGGGUCUAUAAGUUCUCUGUGAAAUCUAACGGCUUAACCGUUAGGCGUGCAGAGGAUACUGUAGACCUCGAGACUGGGAUGGGUCAAGGGUACUCUCGGGGUAGGGGUGAAAUCCAAUAAUCCUGAGGGGACCACCUGUGGCGAAGGCGCUUGGCUAGAACAGGUCUGACAGUGA
rnacentral:rRNA from 1 species